CGUAGCGUGGCCGAGCGGUCUAAGGCGCUGGUUUUAAGCACCAGUCUCUUCGGAGGCGUGGGUUCGAAUCCCACCGCUGCCA
rnacentral:tRNA from 1 species